ensembl:lncRNA
UUGUGAUUAUUGCAAACAUUUAUUUAUUCUAAAACUUAAAUCAGACUGUAUCAAGUCUGUAUUACAGUUACAAUAGCAUUUACAGUUGCAUACAGGCCUUUUUUUUUUUGACUGGAGACCAUAUUGUUGAUUCUGUUUAGAGCUUUAUAAAUAUGAUUUCAGUUUAUGGCUAUACAUUGUACAGAGAAUGUUUUCAACAUCUAACUUCAAAACCAUGCAAAAAAACAAACAAACCCAAAUGAAUAUAAUAUUACAUUAUACAUUUUCAAUGAAAUUAUGUAAUUCCAAUUAAAAACACACACAAAUUAAAUAUGGUCUGGUUUAGAUACAUUUUUAAACAAAAUUCAUGCAAACAUCAUGCAAACUAUUAUCUUUGAGGAACAUUUUUCAAAUAUGAACUGUAAAUUAGGUUUAAAAUAACAGUACACAUAUCUUAAAGAACUAUAUGAACUAUUGAAAAAUGCUGUUAUUCAUUGCUUCACAGUUUGCUUGAGAACACACCAACAAGCUCAUAAUUUACUUGAAAAGUCCAAAAAAGUCCAAAAAAGACCUGUAUAUCUGUUACAAGUGAGCAUUGCUACAAUAUGUAUUUGUACAGUUGACUAUACAUCCUCUUAUUGCCAGACAUAUCCUGAUCGGGAUUUCUACAUUGCCUAAAAUGUCCAGGUUUUGGCGUUUCCUCUCUAGAGUCCUCAGACAUUAUGUGUACAUGUAUUUGCACUGCUUUGACUCUUCUCUGUAGAUCCCACCUUCUCGCAGGCCACAACUGGUCGAUUAAGCACAAUGCCUGCAUGCUGGUGAAACUACUUUACAGUCAUUACCUUCAGAAAGUCAAAAAAAUGACAUUUUAGGCAAUUUAGAAAUCCUGGCCAGGACAUGUCUGGGAAAAACAGAACGUACGAUCACCCUAAGUUACUUAACAUCAGAGGUAAAAAAGCUCUUUGUACAGACAUGAGUUUAUGUUCAAUGGAGCCACAUGCUGAACUCAUACAGAAAAGACAGUGGCAGUAAAAGAAAUGUCUCCAGGGCAGCCCACCGGCACACUAGUUUAAUGGUGUGUCUCACUAGUACAUACCAUUAAACACUCAAUAUCAUUAAAUCAAGCAAUGGAGUAAUGAGCCAGGGAGCCACCAGGGGCAGUGUUGAAACACACGGUGGUUGCAUGCAAUAAAUUUAAUUUGACACAUUAUCCCAUAAUAAUAAAAAAAAAUCUUCUGUAUGAGUAUAAUGUGGAACAGACAAUUUUUGUUACACAAUUCAGAAUGCUAUUUAAUUGUCUCUUCUCUAUUAGGUAGGUCUAUCCAUGUAAUAUUGCAAAAACACACCCACAUUUUUACAGACAUUAUCUUAAAUAAACUAUUAAUGUUAUGCAGAUAAAAGUAAAAACAGUAGUGUUUGCAAUGUGAUAUACUAGAACAACGUAGUUGCCUUGAUGUUUGAUGCUUUUUCUUGGAUUUAGCACAACAGCUUAUCUUAAUUUUGUUAUGCAAAAUCAUUUAUAAAGAGCACUGAACAAAACAUAUUUGUUUCCUCUGAAGUAUAGAUUUAUAAAACAUUUGGCAAGUUAUAUUAAGUAAAAUGUAUGGAAAGCUAAAAAAGAGAGAGGAAUAAAACAAAAUAAAAAUAAUAUAUAAAUAAAAUGAUGUAUACAUUCUGAGGAACUGAGCUUACGGUCCAAAGCCCGUAUUUCUCAGUGCAGCUGUUACUUCUGUAAACAGUUUAGUAAACGGUAUCACUAAGAAAGGAUAUAUGAAAUAGUUUACAUAUUUCUUGUUUUAUUAUAUCCUUCCUUCCAGUUGUACGAACCGUGAACAACUUCCAAACCCCAUUCUGACAGAAAACACAGUGGAAUGCUUAGAAUUAGCACCCCAUCAAAACGAGGUCACGCCUCAUGUUUAUAUAAAAGACUAUAUAAUCUUACAAUCCUGAACCCCACUGCAUGUUCAGAAAGGAAGUUAGUUCUUUCAUUUCUUCCUGUCCUUCUUGGACAUAUAUAUUAAUCAUAAAUAGAUAGUAAUCAUUCAGAAACAAAAGGCAAAUCCAUGGUAUUAAUAAAAAGAUGGAUAGCCUUAAGAUGAUAUAAUAAAUAGCGCAAUAUUUGCAAACUCUGUUCUUCAAAAUGACAAAGAAUCUGAGAAGGAAGUUUUCGAGUUUUAAGAUCCAGGAAGUAACUUAAAUCUCUUUCACAUUUCUUGGUCAUUGCUGGUGUAAUGCUGUAGGACCUACUGUGAAGCUCUCCACUGCAUCAGAGCGUUCAGAGGUCCGUCUUCACUGGCUUUGCCAUGUUGUUUAACAUCAGAAUACGAGGUUUGGCUAGUUUCACCACAGCGGUGGUGAAAAGGGGAAGAAUGGAUACUGAGUAUCAUCCUCAUCCACAAAGAAACACUGGAAGUAGGGAACAUCCUC